UACGGAGGGUGCAAGCGUUAAUCGGAAUUACUGGGCGUAAAGCGUACGCAGGUGGCUGAGUCAGUCGAUUGUGAAAGCCCUGGGCUUAACCUGGGAAUUGCAGUCGAUACUACUUAGCUAGAGUAUGGGAGAGGGCAGUGGAAUUCCCGGUGUAGCGGUGAAAUGCGUAGAUAUCGGGAGGAACAUCAGUGGCGAAGGCGGCUGCCUGGCCCAAUACUGACACUCAGGUGCGACAGCGUGGGGAGCAAACAGG
rnacentral:rRNA from 1 species